rnacentral:rRNA from 1 species
AGCUGCAGUCGACGAUUCACCGCAAGGUGAAUAGUGGCAGAAGGGUUAGUAACACGUGGGUAACCUACCCUCGAGACGGGGAUAACACCGCGAAAGCGGUGCUAAUACCCGAUGAAACUACCGGGUGGCAUCACUUGGUAAUCAAAGGUGGCUCGCAAGAGCUUCCACUUGAGGAGGGGCCCGCGGCCUAUCAGCUAGUUGGCGGGGUAAUGGCCCACCAAGGCUUUUGACGGGUAGCUGGUCUGAGAGGACGAUCAGCAACAUUGGGACUGAGACACUGCCCAGACUCCUACGGGAGGCUGCAGUCGAGGAUCUUUAGCAAUGCCCGAAAGGGUGACUAUGCGACGCCGCGUGGAGGAUGACGGCCUUCGGGUUGUAAACUCCUGUCAGGGGGGAAGAAACCUUGCACGUUAAUACCGUGCAAGCUGACAUCACCCCCAAAGGAAGCCACGGCUAACUCUGUGCCAGCAGCCGCGGUAAGACAGAGGUGGCAAGCGUUGUUCGGAUUCAUUGGGUGUAAAGGGCAGGUAGGUGGUCCCGUAAGUCCGGUGUGAAAUCCCAGGGCUCAACCCUGGAACUGCAUUGGAAACUGCGGGACUUGAGUACCGGAGAGGUGAGGGGAAUUCUCGGUGUAAGGGUGAAAUCUGUAGAUAUCGAGAGGAACACCAGUGGCGAAGGCGCCUCACUGGCCGGUUACUGACACUGAGCUGCGAAAGCAAGGGGAGCAAACAGGAUUAGAUACCCUGGUAGUCCUUGCCGUAAACGAUGUGGAUUAGGUGUCGGAGGUGUCGAUCCCUCCGGUGCCGACGCUAACGCAUUAAAUCCACCACCUGGGGAGUACGGUCGCAAGA